AAGUUUUCGCUUUUGAUUACUUACUAGAUUAUAAAAUAAGUGAAAAGUAGACAUUAUUAUUGUUUGAGAUGGAGGACAAUAGAUUCUUUUCCUCUUUACUGUUCAGUGACUGAAAACAGUUGUUUGUUGUGUUUUAAAAUUGUCCUCAAAACAUAAUGAAUUGGAAUUAUUUCUGCUUGUUAAGAGCAUUAAUAGAAUGGGCAAGCAAUUGCCUUAAACUCCAUUUACCCACUGUUUUCAGCUUUGAUGUUCCUUGCUAUAUUAUUCUAAACAAGAUGUAUUGAACUGGCAAUUCAAUAGUAAUUUGAUUACUAGUAAUUUGAUAUUGUUUUUGAGAUGACUAAGGGCAUGCCAUUGUAUAUGAAUAAAAUAUACAAAAGCACUUGACUAAAAUGGAUCAUCUCAAUAUGGGCUUGUUUUCAAGUUUGAGUUUUCCUUUUUUCUCCCUAUUUCCUAAUUAGUAAUUAGCCAGCAUAAUAGAGGAGAAAAUAUGCUUUGUGAAAAAAUUACCAAUAAAUUCACUACUUGUAAAAUUUGCAGUACUUCAUACCUAGACUUCUCAUUCAAAGAACCUCAAGUUAUUUAUGAUGGCUCUAAAAAUAUGUCAGUGUGUUUGUGUUAGAGAUAGGAUAUGACUAUGACUAUAACCACAGAGAUAGUCACAGCUGUUCCUUUAGUGUUACGCAUGAAUACAUGUUAACUGUUGCUAUAGGCUAUCUGAAAGUUUCCAGACGCCUAUAGGAAACCUUAGGCUUCUGAGGGGCUCUCUUCACUCGGCAUUUUUAUCUUUAGCAUGUCCAACGUUCUUUUAUUUUAUGUUAUUAUUUAUUUGUUUGAAAUGGGAUCUAACUAUGUUGGCGGCCGGCCUCAAACUUGGGGCCACAAGAGAUCCUUCUGCUCCAGGCUCCAGAGUACCAGAAAAAAAUAUUACUGACAUUUUGUUAAUAUCACUUCAAAACAAAAAGUACAAAGAUUUCUCAGAAAUUGUUAAGAUGGAACCACCGAGUGAUGUAGCAAUCCCACUGGUUAGGUGUGUAGUCUACAGAAAUGGAAUUGUUAGGUCAGAUAGUCAUGUUUACUCUAUUGUUUACUGCAGCACUGAUCUCACGAUGGAAUCAAAUCUAAGUUGAGUACAAAUGAGUAGAUCGAACAUGGUAUGUGGGGCUGGGAA